rnacentral:rRNA from 1 species
ACGUCCUACGGGGGGCAGUAGUGGGGAAUAUUGGGCAAUGGGCGCAAGCCUGACCCAGCAACGCCGCGUGAAGGAAGAAGGCUUUCGGGUUGUAAACUUCUUUUCUCGGGGACGAAGAAAGUGACGGUACCUGAGGAAUAAGCCACGGCUAACUACGUGCCAGCAGCCGCGGUAAUACGUAGGUGGCAAGCGUUAUCCGGAUUUAUUGGGUGUAAAGGGCGUGUAGGCGGGAGCGCAAGUCAGACGUGAAAACUCAGGGCUCAACCCUGAGCCUGCCUUUGAAAC